UUUAAACUGACUAAUAAUACUUAUAAAUGACUGCGGCGUAUAAUUAUAAAGCUAUACAACCAGUUUAACCGCAUAAGUUUCUUUUUAUUUAUGAAAAAUCAUUUUUAAUUUCAAAGAGAAAUAAUUUAAUAUUUCUAACUUUUGGAUGACUUAUGAAAAGGUUGAAUAUAUGAAGAGUGAUGGUCUAUAUAUGAAUGGAUGACGUAUGGAGGGUGAAAAAUAUGAAGAGUAAUGGCGAACGGAAAAAUAAAAGUGUCCAGGAGCGGAAUCGAACCCACAACCUUCUGCUUACCGUGUCCACUAGGCUAUCCUGGACGAUAUUUCUCCGUUCGUAACUAAUAUUUAAACUGACUAAUAAUACUUAUAAAUGACUGCGGCGUAUAAUUAUAAAGCUAUACAACCAGUUUAACCGCAUAAGUUUCUUUUUAUUCUAUGAAAAAUCAUUUUUAAUUUCAAAGAGAAAUAAUUUAAUAUUUCUAACUUUUGGAUGACUUAUGAAAAGGUUGAAUAUAUGAAGAGUGAUGGUCUAUAUAUGAAUGGAUGACGUAUGGAGGGUGAAAAAUAUGAAGAGCAAUGGCGAACGGAAAAAUAAAAGUGUCCAGGAGCGGGAAUCGAACCCACAACCUUCUGCUUACCGAGCAGGUGCCAUGUCCACUAGGCUAUCCUGGUAAGCAGAAGGUUGUGGGUUCGAUUCCCGCUCCUGGACACUUUUAUUUUUCCGUUCGCCAUUACUCUUCAUAUUUUUCACCCUCCAUACGUCAUCCAUUCAUAUAUAGACCAUCACUCUUCAUAUAUUCAACCUUUUCAUACGUCAUCCAAAAGUUAGAAAUAUUAAAUUAUUUCUCUUUGAAAUUAAAAAUGAUUUUUCAUAAAUAAAAAGAAACGUAUGCGGUUAAACUGGUUGUAUAGCUUUAUAAUUAUACGCCGCAGUCAUUUAUAAGUAUUAUAAAAUAAUUUGUUAAAACGUUAAGAAAAUAAAUAUUACCUGGCCGUAGUGUGUAUUUUUCAAAGAACAAUGAAUGCUGGCCAGGCAACCUCUAUCUUCAAGAUUAUAUAUAUAAAGUCCAACCACCAGUAAGUGCAAGUAACCAAACGGCCUCUGGUACAUUUGUAAGCGCAAAAUCAAACUGAUUUUCACAUAUGUAGAUAUGUUAUGCACUUACAGUAAAAGCAGUCGCCUACUUCUACCUAUUUCUAGCCACAAUGAUUAGCCUGGCCAUACCACGUAUACUAAGGAUAAAAUAAGAUGAUAUCACCAUUUAAUAAAAACAAUUAGUUAUUUAAUUUUACUCUGUGGAGUGUGGAUUUAUUAGUCCAGCGAUGGCCAAGAAAGUAUUUCAAAGUUAGUGUUUUAUUGGUAUUUCCUAUUAGCUACAUUUUAUCUGGAAGACAAAAAGGACAACACCCAAGAAUGUCUAUUGGGAUCUCAUUGACUUCCGCCGAUCUGCCACACAGCGGUGAUCAUCUCCAAUUUCAUGUCCCCGCUUGUAUGUUUGCCGUGGUCUGUCAUCCCAGCAGGCUGGAAGGAAGUCUCUUGGCUCCCACAACUCCUUUUUUCUCACCAUCGAGAAGGUGAAAAAGAUGGAGUGGUGGAACCGUCUGCUGACUACUGACUCCGAGAUCAACACCAAAAAGGUCCAGCCAGAGAACUCCAAGCUGACUGAUCUGGAUGGGGAGACCCACUCCAUGGUAGAGAAAAUGCUCUAUGACCAGAGACAGAAGGAGAUGGGUCUGCCCACUUCUGAUGAGCAGAAGAAGAGAGAUGUGCUCAAGAAGUUCAUGGAACAGCAUCCAGAGAUUGACUUCACCAAUUGUAAAUUUGCCUAGAGAUCUGGCACCACCUCACCUUAGAACACAUCACCAUUUUUAUAUGUAUACAUGUUUAUGUAUGUAUGCAUAAUGGCAUGAAUAAAUACCCCAUGGAAAUAUUUUGAAAAAAAAAACUAAUUUUUUAUCUCCUUUCUAUAACCGUUAUAGAGUACUAUCUCUUCCUUACUAUGAUGCAUUAGCGCGUCAUCUGCUAUAAGAAAUAUAAACUAUUAUUGAGUCCAAGGAUUCUUGUUGAAUUAAAACAAUUUUACAUUUACCUAUUUAAAAAAAGAAUCCUGAGCGUCAAAAAUAGUUCGGAUAUCACAUAACAGAUGGCGCGCUGAUAUAGAAUUGGUUUAUAUUAUAUUGAAGAUAGAGAUUGCCAGGCUGGUAUUCAGAGUUCUUCAAUAUCUAAGACACUUUGGUCAGAAAUUUGUUUAUUUUCUCGACGUUCUGACAAAAUUCUUUAUAUGUUCGUCAGGAAAAAUAAUAAAAAAAUAUAUGAAUAGCGCUUUAAAAAAAUAUCGAAAUUUUAAAAUAAUGUACCUGUAAUAUUUUUCUUGAAGAGGACAAACUCUGUCUAAAAUGUUUAAACAAAUUUUUCGGUUUUAAAACAUUGAAUAGGAUGGAAUAAUCUUUCCUAUCAGAUACAAUGUACUAUAGAAUCUAUGGACGGUUCAUGAAAAGGUCCUCCUUGCUUCGAUAAUAUUCUAAUUAAAAGAUAAAUAUAAUUAGUAAUAAGAAAAAAAAUUAAUAAAUGUUCUUUAUCUCCUGUCUCACCAUACCUCAUUAGAUUCCCUUCCAGCUGUGUGAACUCACGAUGCAGUCAAAGUAACUUCCAAAUUUAUUGGAAGUCUUAAAUCUAUCUGGCACACUGAAGUAAAGUCACGAUGGCCCAUUAAAAAAUAGCAACAAGAGUUUUUUAGCGCAGGAAAUGGCGGCCGAAUGGGCAGGCGGAGUCAGUUCUGUGGAUGACGGAUGGAGGGGUUAGAUUAAUGUUCGCCAAUUUUUAUUGAUUUGAGAGAGAGAGGGUAUGUGAAAGCUUUAAAUUGCCAUUUAAAUGACGCUUGCUGAUGUAUUAGCCCCACCUGCAGCAUUGACUCUCACUCCACAUUUAAUAUACAACUCUUUUGAAUCAUCUGGUCUUGAUUGAGCAUAGAUAGGUAUUAGAUAUAGAAGAUUCUUCUCGGUAAGAAAUGUAGCGAUUUGAUAAAAUGAAAGGAGACAAGUUUCUUUAAUCAUUUAUCGACGCAAGCUUUCGGGCAAAAACCUUUCAACAGGUAAGCUAAAGCAUAAAUACAACACUAUGAACGUGUUUAUGCUUUAGCUUGCCUGUUGAAGGGUUUUUGCCCGAAAGCUUGCGUCGUUAAAUGAUUAAAGAAACUUGUCUUCUUUCAUUUUAUUAAAUCGCUACAUAGAUAGGUAUAAAAUUUUACACAAAUAAAUUUACUGUAAAAUUUAAGGUCUGUAGAGAUUUAAAAAAGAAACGCAUUGCCAGUAAAUUUAUUUGUGUAAAAUUUUAACGAUAGAGGGCAAUAAAAUUUAAUUUACUAAUAGAUAGGUAUGUAUAACUUUAUUUAUGAAUAUAUUUAUUAAAAUCAAAAAUGGCAUAUUCCGACUACGUUCACAUUUUUAGAUGGCAGUGCGCCAUCUAGUGGAACAGAAAUAAACUAAACGUUGAUUCAGCUUGUUCCCUGAUAUUUGGCCAACCGUUACACUAGAUGGCACUCUGUCAUAUAAAAAUUCAUGUGAACUUGGUCAGGAUAUGCCUUUUUGGUUUUAAUAACAAAUACCUGACCUUUUUUAUUAUUUUAUGUUUGUUAUUUUUUGACAGAAUAAAUUUAUCUUGAGAAAGUGUUACUGUUUAUAUAACGCUAUAUACGAGGGUGAGUAGAAAAGUAAGGUCUCCUAUUUUUUUUUCAUAGAAAAACACAUUUAAUCACAACUUUUUAUACAUCAUUGGAAAAGAAAACAUUCAAAGACAAAGAGGAUGAGUAUCUUUUUAUGAACAAGCGUUCGAGCUUUCGAGCACAAAUUCCUGUUGAAGGGCGACUUUGUGCUCGAAAGCUCGAACGCUUGUUCAUAAAAAGAUACUCAUCCUCUUUGUCUUUGAAUGUUUUCUUUACCAAGUUACUCCAGAGGAUUUUACCUUGUUUAAACAUCAUUGGAAAGGUUGGACACUUUGCUAUUUUUCUACAUAGUCGCCUUGAUGCUCAAUCACUUUUUUCAUCCUGUCAACCAACUUUGUAAUUCCGGUGUUGUACCACUCUCCCGCCGCCUCUUUGAGCCAAUUGUUAUACGCUUUUUAAAUGCGAAAAAUAAUUCUCCGGUCGAAAUUCACCGUCAGUUAGUGGAAGUGUAUGGUGAGAAGUGCAUGGACAUCAAAAAUGUGCGGAAAUGGUGCCGGGAGUUUAACGAGGGGCGGAUAAACGUCCACGAUGAACAGCGGUCUGGGCGGCCGAGUUUGCCGGAAUCAACCGUGGCUCGAAUCGACGAAAUGGUGCGCGCAAACCGGCGGAUAACCCUUGAAGAGAUCGAGGAUGGCCUGAUGAAGAUUGCAGCCACUUCUCCGUGCACAAGAUUGUGUCUGAGACCCUCGGCUACAGAAAGGUGUCCGCCAGGUGGGUCGACAAGUGGCUCAAAGAGGCGGUGGGAGAGUGGUACAACACCGGAAUUACAAAGUUGGUUGACAGGAUGAAAAAAGUGAUUGAGCAUCAAGGCGACUAUGUAAAAAAUAGCAAAGUGUCCAACCUUUCCAAUGAUGUAUAAAAAGUUGUGAUUAAAUGUGUUUUUCUAUGAAAAAAAAUAGGAGACCUUACUUUUCUACUCACCCUCGUAGAAAGUGUGAAAUCUUGUUACAUGAAUAUCUCUGAAACUUCUGUUUUCUCCAGACAUGGUUCCUUCAAGGUAUAUUAAGGUGUCUUAGAUUAGGCUCGUAAUGACCCCGCCCAACUCUCAUCAAAUGUACAACUUGCUUAGCGAUAGAAUUAUUUAAUUUUCACAAAGCAUAGUUAUGUUGAAUACUUUGAUUUCCUUUUCAUUUUCCCUUCUCUCCUUUGUUUAUGUUUUUUUCCCUUUUCUCCAUGAAAAUGAUGUAUGGCGAGUCCUUACAGGACGGAAAUGUCCUAAUAAAGUAGUUGAUGUUGUUGAUGUACAACUUGAUGAAUACUGCGCUGGAUGACCGAAGUUUUACUUUUGAAUAUUUUAUAUUUUUAUCUUUAUAAGAGAUAUCCAGACAACAUCUUGAAGAAGGAAUAAAAGUUUACGGCGACGUGUUUCUUUAUUUUUGUAUUCAAAUUACAAGAAAAUAAAUCGCCAGAUAUUCAUCGUCAUAAACAUUUAUUCCUUCUUAAAGAUUUUUAUCGUUUUUGAAAUUGCAGAAAAUUAUGUAAAAUAUUUGAUAAACUACUUAAAAUGAGAAAUAAGGAGGGAGAUCAGUAACAAGCUCGUUAAAAAACCUGGGCUCAGCUGGCCCAACUGAUAGUACCCUGUAAGGGCUCAUAAUCCAGUACAUGAUGAGUCUGUACUCCAUGUUAGGAGAGGCUGUACAUAGCUUCUAUUCCUCAUGUCAGAAGCGGCCAUUUCAUAUUGGAGCUAAGUCGGCCUGCUACUGAGUAGUGGCACACAUAUUAUACUUUACCCAGUCAUGAUGGCUGUCGCUUGAUACCCUGAUAUGAUUAACUGUAGAUAAGAAAAAAAUAGAGGAAGCUAUAAAAGAAAAGCAGAGAAGUAAUAUACUAAUAUUUAACAAUUUUAAAAUAUAAUUACACAAAAAGAGCUAAACUCGAUGUCUUCUUCUUCUUCUUUCUUAUUUCCACUCAAUCACACUAAGGUAUCAAGCUUGUAAAGCUUGAGAUUUUUGAUGGUGUCUGCCGGGGAAGAGUAGAGCGCAUCAAUGGAUGAGUCAAUACAGUCAAUAAUAUGUCUUGGGGUUGCAGGCUGAGAAUUGCACUUAGUACAUAGUGGGAAAACCCUGCAACCAUAAUCUUAUGUGAAGACCUUUAUUGGAGAUAUUUACACUCAUGGACAAAACUAUCAGUAUAAAAGUGAAACAUCAAAAUACAACAAUAGAACUGUAUGGUAGAUUAUACUGGCGAUACCGCUGGCAGGCCAUCCCAUUAUUUUUAUCAUUGCAGUAAGGACAGUAGAAUAUUGUUUAUAUAAAAAGGAUCAUACGCCUCAAAAAUCGUUCAAAUUGAUUAUAUAUUAUCUCUAUACAGUAGAACUACCUCUCUGUAAAGGACAACAUCUAAUUGCAGAGUCAAAGUGUCCUUUAGGGAGAGGUGGCCUCUUACCGGAGAGUUGUUAUAUAGCAAAAAAAAAGAGAUAAUUUUGUGAAUAAAAACUGUUCUUUAUAGAGGAGUGUCCUCUAGUGUGAGCUUCCUCUCAUGGAGGUUCUACUGAAUAUCAAUUUAAUACAAAAAGUUAAAUUCUAAUAUUUCGUAUGAUAAUGAAAGUCUGCUAUCAUAGAAAUGUGUGUCCAUCCUGCCGUCCCGAGUCCGACGUGAGGUAGAGUGCGGUGGAUCAGCGGUCAAUAGUCCCAUUCAGCCUUGCGGCAGGAAUUCCUCGCCGGACCACUCCAGGAAUGUGACGUCAAUUGGCCGGAAUUGAUUUCUGAAUGGCCCCACAGGUCGGAAGCGGAAAUUCUCAAUCAAAAGAUCUUUUCUGGAACUUUUCUCAUCUUGACCCGUAUGGAAUGGCAAUGUUGAUUGGUUAGUUUCAUCUGACUCUUCACUGCAUAGGUACCCAUGUCUACUCAGGGUCCAUAUCUCUGUAGGAUUACAUAGCUUUCAAAUGUAACAGCUUCCUUUAAUAUAAUAACUAAUUCACCAUUCUAUACACAAGAAAUGAAAGAAUUAAAACACAAAUGUUUAUUUUACACAUUAAAACAAACUUCUAAUUACUCCACUUCGAUUAAAGAUUAUUGGGAGGGCCUGGCUCAUCAAUGGUGAACCCUCUCAGCAUUACGUCAAUUUAAUCUACCAGGUUUUUAGAACUCUAAUACUGUAUUGGAAGAUUCUGCUUAUAUAUGCUACACUGAAGGAUUGAAUCUUAGAAAUGGUAUUUAAGCAAACUAUGGACAUAAGCUUUUAGGACAGUAGAAUUACAUUUUAAUUUUUAAUCGCAGUUAGUACAGUUGAUUUAUUUGUGAAAGAAAUAUUCGCGUCUUAAUCGUUCAAAUUUAAAUGUAGUUUUUAAAAUAGAGAGAAAUAUAUAAAUAGAGCUUCAAUUGAAAAUGCAUAUAUUGUGGAUCAAAAUAUAGUUUAUUUAACAAUAAUUCUAUCCCACAAUUAAUUGAACAAUUAUACGUGUACUAGCGCGCCAUCUGUUAUCAAAAUUCGAUACUAUUUUAAAGGCGUAAGAUUCUUUUUGAUAUUAAACAAUUUCUACUGCCCUUACUGCAAUGGAAAAAAAGGGCAGUAGAAAUUGUUUAAUAUCAAAAAGAAUCUUACGCCUUUAAAAUAAUUUCGAAUUAUACAUGUAUUUUAAUGUUUAAUAUUCAGAGGAAACUGUGCACAAGAUUGUUCGGUAAAGUCGGAAUGCCCGUUAAAAAGUAAAUAAAGUUGAUGGUCUAGAGAUGCCGGGACAUUCUGAGCGAUGUCGGAAGUUUGAUGAUAGUUGGGGAUGAAGUUUUAAUGACCAGCCGAUCAUCGAUUCUGGGUCUGAUUCCAGCUCCCACGGGAGUCAUCCAUCCUCUGACAGAAAUAUUGUAAUUACCCGACCUUUGAUUGGUGCGCUUCUUUCUCUCUCUCUCUCUCUCUUACACUCUGCAAGCGGCUCACCAAACUUCGGGUGUCAACAAACAAAAGAACGCUAUGAGGUUCCGCAUAGCGUGUCUCAACGUGCGCGGCUGUCCGUGAUGGAACUGUGCUUCUUUUUAAAGCAGCACGCAAUUGACGUCGCAUUCUUAUCUCUAUUUUUAGUUUUUAUCAUUAUUUUCAUUAUUGUUAGUUUCUCAUAAUUAGUGCGGACUUUGCAGUUUUACCUGUAUUGACAAGAUGUCAAUAAAAAUGUAAAUUGUCAAAUGUCUUUCUCUCUCUUCUCGGCUUUCUGGCUAAUAUCAAAGUGUAUAGUGUUCUCUCGCCUUCUCAGGGCACAAUGUCGACAUUGAAGUACAGCUGGCCCUGCACGCUCUUCCCCAUCCUGCACAUCCGGCCUCUGCUCUAGAGACCUGCAUCACCUGUGGCUCUAGUGACCUGACGUUGGCCCACCGCUACAGGUCCUGCAGCUCCAUCAGGCCCCUCAUACGGGAGGCCUUCAACAUCAUACAGCAACCACCCAACCUGCAGGGCUGGCUCUUCGGCCAAUGGCUGGAUGACGACGCCCUCGCCAUCUCGCGUCUGCCAAGUCAUCAAUACACAGGUUCUUUCUGAGCCUUGAGAUCAGGGGAGAACGUGACUUACUGUCUGGAGGAGGACUCUCUGUCGUUGGGGGAAUCUCCUCGACUGUACAUAACUGUAUAUAUUUUAUCCCUCUUUUCCCUCUUUUUAUAAUUAUUAUAUACUACUACCAUUGACUUGUGUAUAAUGUCAAUAAAAUAUUUUUAUAUCUAAAAAAAACUCUCUCUCUCUCUGAGAGACCCCUGGAGGUGUUCACUUCCUAUGACUUGCCCCUGGAUCUGCAGACCUGGCUCUUCGGUGUCGGCCUCCAUCCCGAGACAAUGGAUUUAAUCAGUGUGGUAAAGGCUACCAUCUACAAGUACCUUAUUGGUUUUGAUGUGGGUAAAACCAGCCAUAACAUCGACCGGCCCACUCUGUGAGAAAGAACUCUCGCAGUCCAUCGGUGGCGGAGUCUUUCCAGCGGUGGGCGCCACCAAUGACGACUGUAUAUAUUCUUAUUUAUAUGUAUUCAAUUAUAUGUAUGUUCCUCUAAAGACCUAUAAGCUUAUGUCCAUAGUUCACUAAACACCCUUAAGCUGCAUUCCAUAGAAAAUACAGGUAUAUACCAAACAAAUCCAAUACAAUAGUAGAGCGGUCUAGAGAUUAAUUUGGCGAAACCGCUGAGAGGGUUCACUACUGAUGAGCCAAGCCCUCUCAUUCAAUAACUCAUAUCAUUACAGUACGGUCUGUAGAGAUAAUAUUUGAUGAUAUUUAAAAGAAGCGCAUUGCCAGUAAAUUUAUUUGUGUAAAAUAUUAACGAUAAAUGGCAAU
rnacentral:tRNA from 1 species